ensembl:lincRNA Gm11419 predicted gene 11419
GGAACACUCAGGAGAUGGCACCCCACUGGAGGAAGUGUUGAAGUUACCAAGUAAAUACCUGUUGCUUACACUGCUGCCCCCACUUUCAGGGCGAGCCCCCUACAACCCUGGUUAGGGAUAAAGCUCUGCAGAGCUAUCUAUCUUAGCCUCUGCACUUACCUAGCCCAUCUGGUACCUCAAGAUCUCCCCAAGCAAGGAUUCAAUGAAACUGAUGAAGCUCCUGGGUUGCCAUGGAGAUGCAAGGAUACAUCUAACUGGAAACCAGGAGCCAAGCUGGAGACUUUGCUCUACAAUCAUUUCCUUCCCCGGCUCAUUUUCUAAUCCAAACAUUUGAGGAUGAGGUAUCUGGGUCCUUAUUUAAGCCAUCAACUGGAAAGCAGUCAUCGUCCCCGACACCUCAGCAAAGCACAGAGAUUUCCGCAGCCAUAAUAAAGGUCAGGAGAGGAAGAGACAGAGUUAUCUAAAUCCACAGCUGUAUCCAGGUUCAUGAAGAAUGGCAGAUUGAGUCUUGAGAAGCCAGUGGAGAACAAGAUGAAGGCAACACGUGUGCUGUUAUUUCUUCUUUCCUCCAUCCCUCUUCCUUUCCUGUUACAACAACAACAGUAAUCACAGCAAGUAAAAACAGCAAGCCUGUGACCCCUCUGAACCGAUGGUAUCCAUCCCUCAACAGACGCUCCUCCCAC